UGGGCUUUUAUGGGGACAUUGCG
rnacentral:miRNA from 8 species